rnacentral:rRNA from 1 species
UACAGAGGUCUCAAGCGUUGUUCGGAAUUACUGGGCGUAAAGGGUGCGCAGGCCGCGCGGGCAGUCAAUUGUGUAAUUCAGGGGCUCAACCUCUGGACUGCGCUUGAUACUUCCGUGCUAGAGCUUUGGAGAGGAGUCUGGAAUUCUCGGUGUAGCAGUGAAAUGCGUGGAUAUCGAGAAGAACACUUAGGGCGAAGGCAAGACUCUGGACAAAUGCUGACGCUCAUGCACGAAGGCUAGGGUAGCGAACGGG